AGGCUGUGUUUACACUCUACCUAAACAUCUGUGUCAAGGCCAGGUGACCUGGUCGUCAGUCAGCUUCAAAUAUAUACGCGCUACUUCCAGAUCCCUCUUAUCAAACUCCUGCCAACAUGACGCAUCAGAGCAUGAUACAUGUGCACAGACACUGUAGUGCGAACAAGGUGUUAUUGAUUAUUGAGUAACAUGCGCCAUGAUCCAGUUGUGAUGUAAGCAGGAAGUUUUACCUUGAUAUCUUAUUCAGGUCACGCUGCGUUGACUGACACUACUAUCUUACAUUCAAUGUUCGCGUCCCCCCUUAUCGUGACAUAAAGUAUAGGUCGACAUGGCAGACAGUGUAUACAUCCAUGUUACAGCAGGCUAGAGCUAAUGCUGGGAACGCUGAUUACAUUUCCCCUUCACAAUGGCCCUUCCAGCUAGAUCGUAUCGGACGAAUAUCUGAGGCGAUUGACAGGACGCGAACCACCCAAGUCAGAUAGGGAUAGGAGACACGGGCUGAAUAUCAACAAAGGGUCAACAGGAGCUCAUCUUUAUAUGGUCCCUCAAGCAGAUUCGCCGCCAUCAUGGACAUCAAGCGACAUCUACAACACCUCCUACUGCUUCAACGUGGUGUGUGGUGAUGGGGGUAUUGUCGUUCCAGCGGCCGGCAUUUACCUGGUGUACUCUCACCUCACGUUCACCACACAGCCAGCCUCUGAAGACACAGUCAUACACGUCAUACAGCGGCGGAACCGGAACUUGCCUGGUGUGGGCGAGAAACCCGUCCUGUUCAGUAAAACCUCGUUGACAUGGACGGCAUCUGCGCAGCAAACGUCUUUUCUGUCCGCCGUUGUGAAACUACGCAGAGAAGACAUUAUCCGGGUUACCAUGUCUGAAAACUAUAAUGAUCUGGUUGAGAUGAGGAAGCUUUCAAAUUAUUUUGGUGUGAUCAAAAUGUAAAUUAUGAUCCAAUAUCGUUGUGGCGGGUGGGGGCUGGGGUCACGGGACGUGGGGGAUGUUUUGUGUGUGAGUGUGCCUCUGAGAAAGAUCCAAGACCUUGACUACUGAUGUGCGACCAAGACUCCCCCGGUUCUUACCCAUAACACAAGGGAUGCACGAAUGUUGGUUGGUUGGUUUGUUGUUUUACGCCGCAUCCAAAUGGAUGCACAGAUUUGGCUUACGUUGUGCAUGAAAUAUGCUGUUUGUUUGUUUGUUUGUUGUUUAACGCCGCACUCACAAUAUUCCAGCUAAAUGACGGCGGUUUGUAAAUAAUCGAGUCUGGACCAAACAAUUGCGAUACGAUGACAUGCAUCAUCAACCAAGUCAGCGAGCCUGACAACGGGUCAGAAGAAAUAUGCAACCGAUUCUCCAUUGGUCAUGUUCUAAAUAUGACCCUGUGAUAUCACCGGAUGUUUAUAUACAAUUUGGUAACCCGAGACAAACGGGAAAUUACUUUCUUUGUUUGUUGUUUAACGCCGCACUUAGCAAUAUUCCAAAAGAUAUAUGACUGCGGCCUGUAAAUAAUCGAAUGUGUCCCAGACAAUCCAGCGAUUGAUAUCAUGAGCAUCGGUCCACGCAAUUGGGAUACGAUGACAUGCUUCAACCAAGUCAGCGAGCCUGACUCCCGAUCCCGCAAGUCGCCUCAUGCGAAUGGUGUUAAAUUUGACUAAAUGUAUCUAGGAAAAUUGGUAUUCGCAACAAAAUCGUAAUCAUUAUAUAUAU
rnacentral:misc_RNA from 1 species